GUUUCCUUGCACCUACUUCCUUGUUUGUAGAAGGUCAACUAGACACCCUGUCCAGAUUCUCUCAGAAAAUUGACCUCAGCUUCUAGAAAUCCCCAAACUAGGAGUUGUGUGCCAUAUGGCAACCAGUAGAACCAGAAAACUUUUCUGCCACUAAACUGCUAAUGUCAGUCACCAGUCAGGCACUUGGAAUAGAAUUCAAGCCUCUAGAAGACUCCUGUGAUCCAUUCAGGUGUCUUUGGGCAGUGAAAUCCAGACUACAUAGUUGGAAUUGCAUUUUUGAUGGAAUGGAAAGACACUGAAAAAUUUUAUGCAAAGUAAUGGAGAAGGCCAUGUGUAACUUCAUUCUCUUAAGCAGAAAAACUUAAAAUGGACAGAAUGGAGACAGAGACCCUCUUAAGAAGUGCAAAUCCAGGGGUAAAGUGAGAAGGGAACUGAUAGCCCAACCCAAAUUUGGGCUUUGCUGAAAUACUCUAUUUCACAAGUGAGAGCCUGCACUGCUUCAUGACAUGUUUGAGGGAAGUGAGUUUGGGGUUUGGGUGUAGAUUCCCAGAGAGGACAGAGUGAGCAUCUAGUAUCUACUCUUAGAUUCAUGGAACUAAGGGAUACAAAGAUUUCCAGAGCCCUCUUACACACUUCUCAUGAGAUGUUUAAUUGAUGAGCCAAAGAACUGGGUCUUCCUAAUGCCUGGAUAUUUCUCUCAGGCUGGGGGAACCAUUUUUUAAGGUACAUUGUAAGCAUCCACAGUACCACUGAGCUGCAUCCCAACCCCCAUUCUGAGGUCUAUUUUCCACUUUCUUUCUGGUUCUCAGCAGCUGCUGACUUGGCUCAGCUGAUGGCCUGCUGUCAAAGCAGACAGUGACUCAGGCAGGCACUGCAGGCUCUUCCUUCCCCAGACCCUUGGGAGAGGAAAAAGGCCUAGGCUGCAGUGGAAAUUUUGAUUGGUGUCUGACUGGGACUGUUCUUUCCAUCCCAGGCCAGUGGAUGAGAUGCAAGGCAGGAGGUGGGAGAGGGCACAUGGGAUGUGUGUGCCACAGAGGGAAAGAAUGAUCUUUCUGUCCAGUGGAAUGGACCAGCCUGAGACUAUGAAGGAGAAGACUUGGGUUCUGUCACCAGCUGCCCCAGCUGACUCAUCUCCAACUGAGGCCUGGACUGUCUGCUGUGUUCCAAGCUCAAGGCGACUAUUGACCUCACUUUGAAGACAGACCCUCCUUCCUCUGCAGUUCCCUCCCACUCCUAUGUUUCUGACAUUUAAAAACCAUCCCAGCUGGGUGUGGUGGAGCACACCUAUAAUCCCAGUGGCUCCAGAUGCUGAGAGAUCAUGAUUUCAAAGCAAACCUCAGUAAUUUAGUGAGGCCCUGAGCAACUCAGUGAGACCCU
rnacentral:lncRNA from 1 species